UAAGUAGAUAGUGAAAGCGUUCGGCUCAACCGAAUAUCCAUUAUCUAAACUGCUAAGCUAGAGAAUGAGAGAGGUAGAUGGAAUUUCCAGUGUAGGGGUGACAUCCGUAGAUAUUGGAAGGAACACCGAUGGCGUAGGCAGUCUACUGGCUCAUUUCUGACACUAAGGCACGAAAGCGUGGGGGAGCGAACGGGAUUAGAUACCCCCGGGUAGUCCACGCCGUAAAACGAUGGGAUGCUA
rnacentral:rRNA from 1 species